rnacentral:rRNA from 1 species
GUCGAGCGAACAGACGAGGAGCUUGCUCCUCUGACGUUAGCGGCGGACGGGUGAGUAACACGUGGAUAACCUACCUAUAAGACUGGGAUAACUUCGGGAAACCGGAGCUAAUACCGGAUAAUAUAUUGAACCGCAUGGUUCAAUAGUGAAAGACGGUUUUGCUGUCACUUAUAGAUGGAUCCGCGCCGCAUUAGCUAGUUGGUAAGGUAACGGCUUACCAAGGCAACGAUGCGUAGCCGACCUGAGAGGGUGAUCGGCCACACUGGAACUGAGACACGGUCCAGACUCCUACGGGAGGCAGCAGUAGGGAAUCUUCCGCAAUGGGCGAAAGCCUGACGGAGCAACGCCGCGUGAGUGAUGAAGGUCUUCGGAUCGUAAAACUCUGUUAUUAGGGAAGAACAAAUGUGUAAGUAACUAUGCACGUCUUGACGGUACCUAAUCAGAAAGCCACGGCUAACUACGUGCCAGCAGCCGCGGUAAUACGUAGGUGGCAAGCGUUAUCCGGAAUUAUUGGGCGUAAAGCGCGCGUAGGCGGUUUUUUAAGUCUGAUGUGAAAGCCCACGGCUCAACCGUGGAGGGUCAUUGGAAACUGGAAAACUUGAGUGCAGAAGAGGAAAGUGGAAUUCCAUGUGUAGCGGUGAAAUGCGCAGAGAUAUGGAGGAACACCAGUGGCGAAGGCGACUUUCUGGUCUGUAACUGACGCUGAUGUGCGAAAGCGUGGGGAUCAAACAGGAUUAGAUACCCUGGGAGUCCACGCCGUAUACGAUGAGUGCUAAGUGUUAGGGGGUUUCCGCCCCUUAGUGCUGCAGCUAACGCAUUAAGCACUCCGCCUGGGGAGUACGACCGCAAGGUUGAGACUC